rnacentral:tRNA from 1 species
GUUUUUUUAGUUUAAAAUGUAGAACGUAUAAUUUGUAAUUAUAAAGUUAAAAAAACU